UGAGUAACACGUAUCCAACCUGCCGUCUACUCUUGGACAGCCUUCUGAAAGGAAGAUUAAUACAAGAUGGCAUCAUGAGUCCGCAUGUUCACAUGAUUAAAGGUAUUCCGGUGGACGAUGGGGAUGCGUUCCAUUAGAUAGUAGGCGGGGUAACGGCCCACCUAGUCUUCGAUGGAUAGGGGUUCUGAGAGGAAGGUCCCCCACAUUGGAACUGAGACACGGUCCAA
rnacentral:rRNA from 1 species